AGUCAGUCUUCUUCCAGCCAUCCUUCUCCAGGGUCUUCCUCAACUCCUUAUAGCCCCAAACUAACUGGAGUAUCAGCCCUGCACCACGCACCUCUCGCUCUGACCGGUUCCUAUCAGGAGACAGAACUAGAGGACUCAGAGAGAGAAACAGCAUCAAACAGAGGUGAUUCAAAUACACCCCCAGUCCACCCCGGGGGGAGGUCAACUACACACCCCCAGUCCACCCCGGGGGGAGGUCAACUACACACCCCCACUCCACCCCCGGGGGGAGGUCAACUACACACCCCCAGUCCACCCCGGGGGGAGGUCAACUACACACCCCCAGUCCACCCCAGGGGGGAGGUCAACUACACACCCCCAGUCCACCCCAGGGGGGAGGUCAACUACACACCCCCAGUCCACCCCAGGGGGGAGGUCAACUACACACCCCCACUCCACCCCCGGGGGGAGGUCAACUACACACCCCCAGUCCACCCCAGGGGGGAGGUCAACUACACACCCCCAGUCCACCCCAGGGGGGAGGUCAACUACACCCCCAGUCCACCCCAGGGGGGAGGUCAACUACACACCCCCAGUCCACCCCAGGGGGAGGUCAACUACACACCCCCAGUCCACCCCAGGGGGGAGGUCAACUACACACCCCCAGUCCACCCCAGGGGGGAGGUCAACUACACACCCCCAGUCCACCCCAGGGGGGAGGUCAACUACACACCCCCAGUCCACCCCAGGGGGGAGGUCAACUACACACCCCCAGUCCACCCCAGGGGGGAGGUCAACUACACACCCCCAGUCCACCCCAGGGGGGGGAGGUCAACUACACACCCCCAGUCCACCCCAGGGGGGAGGUCAACUACACACCCCCAGUCCACCCCAGGGGGGAGGUCAACUACACACCCCCAGUCCACCCCAGGGGGGGAGGUCAACUACACACCCCCAGUCCACCCCGGGGGGAGGUCAACUACACCCCCAGUCCACCCCGGGGGGAGGUCAACUACACACCCCCAGUCCACCCCGGGGGGAGGUCAACUACACACCCCCACUCCACCCCGGGGGGAGGUCAACUACACACCCCCACUCCACCCCGGGGGGAGGUCAACUACACACCCCCACUCCACCCAGGGGGGAGGUCAACUACACACCCCCAGUCCACCCCAGGGGGGAGGUCAACUACACACCCCCAGUCCACCCCAGGGGGGAGGUCAACUACACACCCCCAGUCCACCCCAGGGGGGAGGUCAACUACACACCCCCAGUCCACCCCAGGGGGGAGGUCAACUACACACCCCCAGUCCACCCCAUGGGGGAGGUCAACUACACACCCCCAGUCCACCCCAGGGGGGGAGGUCAACUACACACCCCCAG
rnacentral:lncRNA from 8 species